CAGCAGCCGCGGUAAAACGUAGGGUGCAAGCGUUGUCCGGAAUUAUUGGGCGUAAAGAGCUCGUAGGCGGUUUGUCGCGUCUGCUGUGAAAUCUGGGGGCUCAACCCCCAGCCUGCAGUGGGUACGGGCAGACUAGAGUGCGGUAGGGGAGAUUGGAAUUCCUGGUGUAGCGGUGGAAUGCGCAGAUAUCAGGAGGAACACCGAUGGCGAAGGCAGAUCUCUGGGCCGUAACUGACGCUGAGGAGCGAAAGCAUGGGGAGCGAACAGGAUUAGAGACCCCCGUAGUCCCUGUCUCUUAUAA
rnacentral:rRNA from 1 species